rnacentral:tRNA from 1 species
AACAAAAUGUAGCUUAAAUAAAAGUCUUUCGCUUACACCGAAAUAAUGUCUCAUAGCUGGGGACCAUUUU